rnacentral:rRNA from 1 species
AAAUUGAAGAGUUUGAUCAUGGCUCAGAUUGAACGCUGGCGGCAGGCCUAACACAUGCAAGUCGAACGGUAACAGGAAGCAGCUUGCUGCUUCGCUGACGAGUGGCGGACGGGUGAGUAAUGUCUGGGAAGCUGCCUGAUGGAGGGGGAUAACUACUGGAAACGGUGGCUAAUACCGCAUAACGUCGCAAGACCAAAGAGGGGGACCUUCGGGCCUCUUGCCAUCAGAUGUGCCCAGAU